rnacentral:rRNA from 1 species
GAUCAUGGCUCAGGAUGAACGCUGGCGGCGUGCCUAACACAUGCAAGUCGAGCGAGAAAUCUUGGAAUGAGACUUCGGUUAAGUGAAGAGAUGGAAAGCGGCGGACGGGUGAGUAACGCGUAGGCAACCUGCCUUAUGCAGAGGGAUAGCCAUUGGAAACGAUGAUUAAAACCUCAUAAUGCCAUUUUAUCACAUGGUGAGAUGGUCAAAGAUUUAUCGGCGUAAGAUGGG